rnacentral:rRNA from 1 species
AACCCGGUGAUCUAGCCAUGGGCAGGUUGAAGGUUGGGUAACACUAACUGGAGGACCGAACCGACUAAUGUUGAAAAAUUAGCGGAUGACUUGUGGCUGGGGGUGAAAGGCCAAUCAAACCGGGAGAUAGCUGGUUCUCCCCGAAAGCUAUUUAGGUAGCGCCUCGUGAACUCAUCUUCGGGGGUAGAGCACUGUUUCGACUAGGGGGUCAUCCCGACUUACCAACUCGAUGCAAACUACGAAUACCGAAGAAUGUUAUCACGGGAGACACACGGCGGGUGCUAACGUUCGUCGUGAAGAGGGAAACAACCCAGACCGCCAGCUAAGGUCCCAAAGUCAUAGUUAAGUGGGAAACGAAGUGGGAAGGCUCAGACAGCCAGGAUGUUGGCUUAGAAGCAGCCAUCAUUUAAAGAAAGCGUAAUAGCUCACUGGUCGAGUCGGCCUGCGCGGAAGAUGUAACGGGGCUAAACUAUGCACCGAAGCUGCGGCAGCGAUAUGUAAAUAUUGUUGGGUAGGGGAGCGUUCUGUAAGCCUGUGAAGGUGUACUGUGAGGUAUGCUGGAGGUAUCAGAAGUGCGAAUGCUGACAUAAGUAACGAUAAUGCGGGUGAAAAACCCGCACGCCGGAAGACCAAGGGUUCCUGUCCAACGUUAAUCGGGGCAGGGUGAGUCGACCCCUAAGGCGAGGCAGAAAUGCGUAGUCGAUGGGAAACGGGUUAAUAU